rnacentral:rRNA from 1 species
AUGGUGAGGAUCACCAAUGUCUAUGCGCCAUGUGACUGCGCCGCUAAGGAGGCAUUCCUCCUUGAGCUUGCCGGGCAUGCCCAUCCCAGCUCUAUCCCUUGGGCCAUUGUGGGGGAUUUCAACCUCAUCCGAUCUCCGGAGGAUCAUAGUAACGAUAGUUUUUCUCGGACCGAGGCCAUGUGGUUUAAUGACUUCAUUAGUGACCUUGCACUCAUCGACCUCCCCCUUCAUGACCGCCAAUUUACCUAGUCUAACCGC